rnacentral:lncRNA from 1 species
GAAAAAAAGAAUUAAGAGCAACUUACUCGAAAUGUCCCUGAGCAGCUGCAGCACACAAGGGUGUGAAGCCAUUUUUAUCAGCAGCAUUGACUUGGGCUUCUGCACUCAGCAGCAAUCUCACACAGUCUAUCCUGUAUGUCCAUUCUUAGCAGCAGAAUACAAGGCAGAAUGGCCAUCUUCACAGGAGUAAUUAAUGUCCAGUCCUUCUUCAUUAAGCAGCAUUGAUAAUAAAGUGACAUUUCCCUGGGCAGCAGCUUGCUGAAGAAGGGUGGGCCUGCCAGCCAGGGGGGCAGGACCACCACUCAUUAGCAAAGGGGUUAGGGAGGGUGACCAGCCUGUAGGUUAAAGUGACCCUCGUUAGAGAGUAGGAGCAAGGACAAGAGACAGAUAUUACCCAUUCCUUUCUGAAUUACACACACACAAACAUAUGAACAUGUGUCCCUAGAGGAUUAUGUGGUUUCUAACAUUAUCAAUCUGUUAAUAUUUACUUAGCAU